UUCUGACCGUAAACGAUGCCAACUAGCGAUCCGCCGGUGGAUUCCUUGCCCUGGUGGGGAGCUUCCCGGAAACGAAAGUCUUCCGGUUCCGGGGGAAGUAUGGUUGCAAAGCUGAAACUUAAAGGAAUUGACGGAAGGGCACCACCAGGAGUGGAGCCUGCGGCUUAAUUUGACUCAACACGGGGAAACUCACCCGGCCCGGACACCGUAAGGAUUGACAGAUUGACAGCUCUUUCAUGAUUCGGUGGAUGGUGGUGCAUGGCCGUUCUUAGUUCGUGGAGCGAUUUGUCUGGUUUAUUCCGAUAACGAGCGAGACUCUAGCCUACUAACUAGUACACACAUUGCCUCACUGUGUGUGCAACUUCUUAGAGGGAUUUUCGGUGUACAGCCGCACGAAAUUGAGCAAUAACAGGUCUGUGAUGCCCUUAGAUGUCCGGGGCUGCACGCGCGCUACACUGGCAAAAUCAGCGUGCUUGUCCUUGCCCGAAAGGGGUUGGUAAACCCUUGAAAAUUUGCCGUGAUUGGGAUCGGAAAUUGCAAUUAUUUUCCGUGAACGAGGAAUUCCAAGUAAGUGCGAGUCAUCAACUCGCGUUG
rnacentral:rRNA from 1 species